GACGAACUGUCCUAACGUUGUUCGGAAUCACUGGGCUUAAAGGGCGCGUAGGCGGGCUGUCAAGUCUGGGGUGAAAUGCCGCGGCUCAACCGUGGAACUGCCUUAGAUACUGACGGCCUCGAGGGAGGUAGGGGCGUGCGGAACUGUAGGUGGAGCGGUGAAAUGCGUUGAUAUCUACAGGAACUCCGGUGGCGGAAAGCGGCGCGCUGGACCUCUUCUGACGCUGAGGCGCGAAAGCUAGGGGAGCAAACGGG
rnacentral:rRNA from 1 species